CAGAAAUAGUCUUAAGGCAGUGACUACAUGCAUCAAGCAUUGUUAAUUCGUUUGCUGCAUUUACAUAUUUUCGAUAUGCACUAUAUUCAAUUUUCUUGUAUAAUUCUUUUUUGGGAUUUUUAUAAUUUUAUUUGGUGGGUGUUUUUUGUAUGCAGUUGGAUGGCAGGUAUAGCAUUAGCAUGGCUGCAAAGCAUUGCAAGGAAAUUGGUGAGUUGCAUGAGCUUGAGCAAAACAUUGAGAAGGCUAUUAUAUAUUUGGAACAGCUGCUGAUUACUUUGAAAAUCAAGAAGCAAGCUCCUCUGUUGGUAAAAGCAGAAAGUUGCGCAGUUCUCUUCAUCUCAACUUGGCAGAGUAGGUGAAUUGUGCUCAUUUCCCUAAAGCAGAAAUGGGCUUUUCUUAGCGUGUUUCCAACUGUCGAAUCUUUGUUCCAAGUAUUAGAUCAUAGUAAAAGUUCUGGCAAAAAAAAAAAAGAUCAUAGUAAAGGUGCCAAAAUUAGCUAGUUCUAUCUACGCGUUCAUUUUCUGUUAUAGGAAGGAAGCAGUUACUUCAACUGCUCUGUGCUUCCUCUGUUAUAUAUUUGUUCAGUAAUGUUGAUCACGUGUAGCUCAAAAUGAGCAUUGA
rnacentral:misc_RNA from 1 species